rnacentral:rRNA from 1 species
UACGGAAGGCAGCAGGGGGAAUAUUGGACAAUGGGCGAAAGCCUGAUCCAGCCAUGCCGCAUGAGUGAAGAAGGCCUUCGGGUUGUAAAGCUCUUUUAGUGAGAAAGAUAAUGACGGUACUCACAGAAGAAGUCCUGGCUAACUCCGUGCCAGCAGCCGCGGUAAUACGGAGAGGGCUAGCGUUAUUCGGAAUUAUUGGGCGUAAAGAGCGCGUAGGCUGAUUAGUAAGUUAAAAGUGAAAUCCCAAAGCUUAACUUUGGAAUUGCUUUUUAAAACUGCUAGUCUAGAGAUUUGAAAGAGGAUAGAGGAAUUCCUAGUGUAGAGGUGAAAUUCGUAAAUAUUAGGAGGAACACCAGUGGCGAAGGCGUCUAUCUGGUUCAAAUCUGACGCUGAGGCGCGAAGGGCGUGGGGAGCGAAACAGGGAUUAGAUACC